AUUGAACGCUAGCGGGAUGCCUUACACAUGCAAGUCGAACGAGUGGGAACGGGUGAGUAACACGUGGGUAACCUCCCAUCAGAGGGGAUAACACUUGGAAACAGGUGCUAAACCGAUACUGAUGGAUGGACCCGCGGUGCAUUAGCUAGUGGGUGAGGUAACGGCUCACCAAGGCCACGAGGAAUAGCCGACCUGAGAGGGUAAUGGGCAACACGGGGAAUGGGACACGGCCCAGAAUCCUACGGGAGGCAGCAGUAGGGAAUCUUCGGCAAGGGACGAAAGGCUGACCGAGCAACGCCGCGUGAGUGAAGAAGGUUUUCGGAUCGUAAAACUCUGUGGUUAGAGAAGCGGUAUCUAACCAGAAAGCCACGGCUAACUACGUGCCAGCAGCCGCGGUAAUAC
rnacentral:rRNA from 1 species